GCCGUGAGGUGUUGGGUUAAGUCCCGCAACGAGCGCAACCCUUGUCCUAUGUUGCCAGCGGGUAAUGCCGGGGACUCGUAGGAGACUGCCGGGGUCAACUCGGAGGAAGGUGGGGAUGACGUCAAGUCAUCAUGCCCCUUAUGUCCAGGGCUGCACACAUGCUACAAUGGCCGGUACAAAGGGCUGCUAUUCCGCGAGGAGGAGCGAAUCCCAGAAAGCCGGUCUCAGUUCGGAUCGCAGUCUGCAACUCGACUGCGUGAAGUCGGAGUCGCUAGUAAUCCCGGAUCAGCAACGCCGGGGUGAAUACGUUCCCGGGCCUUGUACACACCGCCCGUCACACCACGAAAGUUGGUAACACCCGAAGCCAGUGGCCCAACCCUUUGGGAGGGAGCUGUCGAAGGUGGGAUCAGCGAUUGGGGUGAAGACGUAACAAGGUAGCCGUACCGGAAGGUGCGGCUGGAUCGCCUCCUUUCUAAGGAGUCGUACUGCCUGGUGCGGUGGUCAUUUUUCAUGUGACCGCCAAACCCAGGGACUCCCAGUCGAUCACUGGCUAUUCGGCGCCGGACGGCGCGAGUCGGUCGUAGGUUCACAGGUCUUCGGACCUGCCCCUCCCGACUCGAGCCCACCGACCGCCGGUCUUCCUGUUCCGUUGUCUGGGGGCGGCGUCGCCGCGCCCUUUGAGAACUUCAUAGCGAGCACGAGCAUCUUUGUUUUUCAAGCUACAAAGAGCCAACGGUGGAUGCCUUGGCGCCUGAAGCCGAAGAAGGACGUGGGAGGCUGCGAUAAGCCUCGGGGAGCUGCCGACCAAGCUUCGAUCCGAGGAUGU
rnacentral:sRNA from 1 species